AACGUAGGGGGCGAGCGUUAUCCGGAUUUACUGGGCGUAAAGCGCAUGUAGGCGGUGGGAUAAGUCAGCCGUGAAAGCUCCCGGCUUAACUGGGAGAGGUCGGUUGAAACUAUCCGACUGGAGGUUGGAAGAGGAGAGUGGAAUUCCCGGUGUAGUGGUGGAAUGCGUAGAGAUCGGGAGGAACACCAGUGGCGAAAGCGGCUCUCUGGACCAAUUCUGACGCUGAGAUGCGAAAGCGUGGGGAGCAAAC
rnacentral:rRNA from 1 species